UAGAGGAAAAGAAGGAGAUUAAAUCAUCAGCAAGACUUUUAAAUAAAUAAACUUGUUAAUGUUUGCCUGAAGAAGGAAAUUGAGCAACAUGAUGAUGCCACUCCCAAAGAGACAAAACCCAAACAACUGGAAAGACAUGAAACCUCAGAAGAUUCCAGAUUAUUCCAAUUAUUUUAGUAUUUCAACUAGGUAUUUAGCUUGAAAAACAUCCAAACUUUAUAGAAGGGCGAUACGUGUUUUCAAACCACUAUGUUUACUUCAAAAGUAAACGUUUAGUCUAGGAAAUCUCAUAUAUAAGAAUCCUACGACAAAACUCAAACCUUAAAACCCGACGUUGUGCUCCUUUCCAAGCUCUCCCUCCUUCUCUCUGCUCCCGGUGUCAAUUGCAAAACUCCAAAUACACCUGCAGUUCUUAUACAACCUGUGAUCCUGGCUCCGCCCACAAUUAUUCAUAUAUGGAGAUUCCGUCCCAUGAAACUUCCGGAAUUUAGGUCGAAACUUUGAGGCAUCCGCUCAUUGGCGUUUCCAUGGUUGCUCGAAUGAAAAUAUGAGCGGAACGCUGUACGAAUGUCAACAGCAGGUGUGUUUCAUUAUUUUGCCCCCGGAAAAAAAGCUUGGAAUUGGUGCAAAUAUUCGAAAAAAGUUUCAGGGCUGGGUCGCCCCAUCACUGAAGACAAUUAGCCUGAAUGAGCAGAGGGGUUCUGUUGCUUUUGGAGUCAUUACUGCACAAUAGAAGAGCCAUACAUUGUUUGGGUGUGAAUAAUAAAACUAAGCUACGGGUGGAAAAAGAUAACCAGAUGAAAAAACACAGGCCCAUUGGUCCCAGGAUUUAUAUGGCUUAUUUCAUACAUUGUCUGUAUUUUUAUUUGUGCAUUACGUAAACAUGUCCAUUGCACUUAUCCUUUAAAUUGAGUUGCAGAUAUUGCAUGUUAUGUUUGCAGAGUAAUUAAAGUGCAUUAACUCAU